AAAAUGUAUUAUUUUUUUUCAUUUUUAAUUAUUUGAAUAUGUAUAUUUGCUUAUAAAUUUAAUUAGGUAUGUUUCUACAUUGUAUAAUAUGAAUUUUGCCGGGUUGCCAAAAAACUGUACAGGAAGGCUAACUGUGGUAAUUUAUUUUUUCUGCUGUGCAUUUUGCUGUUUUGUGAGCACGACGGUAAUGUGGUGCGUUAUCCGUAAUUACCUGCAGAGAUUGCGUAUCGAUAACGCACCGGCACUGUCAACUGUAUAAACAGUUGUAGUUCGACCGCCGACGUGCUCGCCGAAAAGAGACGUGUUUUUGAAACACGAUAUUACAAAAUAAAUAUUCUUUUCUGUGUACCAAAACUUUGUUUCAAUUCUAUUAUCUGGCGACUGAUCCUUAGAAAUACCCAAAAUUACAAUAUUUCAACACACGGUGGGAAUUGAAACUUUUAUAUGUUUAUGAAUGGUUGCCUUCGGUUGCAAUUAUAUAAUAUGUGAAUUAUUUAACAAAUCUAUGUAAAAUUACGUCAGUUUGUCAAUAAAAAUAAAUAAAAUAACCCCCAAAAUAUUUUAAUAUAUAAAUAUUAAAUACUCCUAAAAAUCCGGGAUGAUCAACUAUGACUAUUAUUACAAUAUUAGGUACACCGUACAGUGUAUACAUUUUUUUUUUACUACAAAGCUGUAAUAAUAUAGUGUAUAUUUUAUCUCACUCCUCACUGUGUCUGAAAUCUGCCACAGGAAGAUUGCCUACCUGAUAAUAUACUGUUUGCAUAACCAUAAUCGAAACUAAUGGAGAUUUUGUUUCCAUACCUAUGCAGAGCGAAUGAUACUCAAAAGGAGUAAAUUAAUCACAAUUUUUUUCACGGGCAACGCUGGGUUAUUCAGCUAGUAUGAAUAUAAUUUUGUAUAUAAUAUUCUAAUAAAUGUAUUAUAAUAUAUAUUUUUGUAGCAACCUUUAGUAAGUAUAUUUAUGUUUAUUGUCAUAUUUUUACUUUCCCUUGACAUGGAAUGGCCAGAUGACAAAUUAAAAAUUAUUGGUAAAUUAAAUUCUGUAUUGAAGGGACGGGUAUUUGAAAAUUUGUAUUGAAAAGUUGAAUGUGUUAUAACACUGCUAACGAAUGACGAAUGCAGCUUCACAUUUUUUCCUAAUACCUAAUAUUACAAACGUAUAAAUUAUGUGAAUGUUUUUCUAAAGAAAACACAUUUUCAUCAUUUCUUAUAACUAUUUAUUAUAGGUUCCUUCAGAAUAAUGUUAUCUUUCUAUCUUGUAUUAAUAAUGGGGUCUAAACUAUUCGUUCUUGUCCACAAGCACCUUAAAUUUCAGUUGUACAUGUCCACAUAUCGUUUUGACUUUUUCAAGGAUGACGUUUUCAUUUAUUAAUUAGAUUUAUUAUAUGUACCAUAAUAUUAGAAUAAUAAAUUAAUUAUUUAAGAUUAGAGUAACAUUUUAUAAAAGUCUGAUAUUUUUUUUUUACCCACAAAAUCUAAAUUAAUCUUUAAUCAUAGUGUAAUCCAUUGUACACUAUUCUAACCAAUUAAACAUUAUCAUUUGCAGGUGCGAAAAUAUACGAGAAUAUGACGACCUUUGUAGAAAAUACAGGUAGUACGCAUUAUUUAAUAAUUUUUAAUACAGUAGAACUUCGAUUAACCGUCACUCGAUUAACCGUCACUCUCUGUUAUCCGUCAUCGG